UGGGGAAUUUUCCGCAAUGGGCGAAAGCCUGACGGAGCAAUACCGCGUGAGGGAAGAAGGCUCUUGGGUUGUAAACCUCAAAACUUAGGGAAGAAAAAAAUGACGGUACCUAAUGUAAGCAUCGGCUAACUCCGUGCCAGCAGCCGCGGUAAUACAGAGGAUGCAAGCGUUAUCCGGAAUCAUUGGGCGUAAAGAGUCCGUAGGUGGCACUUCAAGUCUGCUUUCAAAGACCGAAGCUCAACUUCGGAAAGGAAGUGGAAACUGAAGAGCUAGAGUAUAGUAGGGGUAGAGAGAAUUCCUAGUGUAGCGGUGAAAUGCGUAGAGAUUAGGAAGAACACCAGUGGCGAAGGCGCUCUACUGGGCAUAUACUGACACUGAGGGACGAAAGCUAGGGGAGCGAAAGGGAUUAGAUACCCCUGUAGU
rnacentral:rRNA from 1 species